UACGUAGGGGGCAAGCGUUAUCCGGAUUUAUUGGGCGUAAAGAGCUCGUAGGCGGCUAGAUAAGUCCGGUGUGAAAGUCACAGGCUCAACCUGUGAAUGCCGCUGGAAACUGUCUGGCUAGAGUCCGGAAGGGGCGAGUGGAAUUCCUGGUGUAGAGGUGAAAUGCGCAGAUAUCAGGAGGAACACCAAUGGCGAAGGCAGCUCGCUGGGACGGUACUGACGCUGAGGAGCGAAAGCAUGGGGAGCGAACAGG
rnacentral:rRNA from 1 species